GAAGAUAAGACGUGUCCGGUGCAGCUCUGGUAUUUAGUGGAGCUCCAGACCAGAAAUGUGGGACACACAGGAAGGAUCACGGGGCUCACAGUGCUGGGGGUGAGAGGACACCCCUGGGGAAGAACAGAUGCGGCCAAUUUCAAAGUCUCCACAGCGUCAGUCCAGUGACGGCCACCAGGGAAAUCGUCACACAGGGGAUAAACCCUUGGCAAUUAAGAUGAUGGCUCUCAGCAUGGCCCAGGCCUGGGACAGCCAGAGGCCUUCAGCUGCCCAGACACUUCCUUGGGCAGGAGCGGAGCAGUGCCUGCGGCCCCCUCCCAGUGUGCAAGGGAGAGAACUUUACCAGGGACACAGCCGCACGUGUCUCACCGAGACGAUCAGCGUGAAAGAAUCAGAGUCACUCAGAUAUGGAGGAGAAGAAUAGUGACGGCAAACGCAAAGGAAAUUCACUCUCAAAAAUGCAUUCCAUUAAGCUGCACGCGGGCUGUGCUGUGAGCAGGUCUCAGGGUAGUGUCAGCUUCUGCUCCUUGACCUUCAAAAGUCUGCAAAGGCCAAGUCCUACUGAACAAAUUGCAGAUGAAAAAGACUAAUUGGUCCCCAGAUGGAGGCAAAUGGCUGCUUUCAGAUCUUGGCUUUUAAAAUGUUUGUUCAGAACAAACCUUUCAGUGCCCCAUGAAAGGCCUCUGACUCCUCUUGACCUUCAGUGACCUCCACCGGGCUGAGCCCUCCCCCCCCCCCCCCCCGCAAUGAAACUGGAGCAGCUUUUGUUUACCAUCCAGGAGCCUCUGGGAGAUCGCAGCAGUUUUUUUAUUUUUAUUUUUUUUAUUUUUUUAUUGUUGGGGAUCGCAGCAGUUUUAAAAAUUAACCUGGGCUCAGGUGGCCAUGUGCCGUGCUGGGCUGUCCGGGUUUCUGGGUCACACAAGAGAAGGCUGCGGGCGCCCGGCCCCCACGGAGCAGAGUGGCCUUGUUGGAAGCCUCGCUUCCUCAUCCUGAUGCCCCUUCUGGAAUCGCCAGACUGGGGCAGAUCCAUACUGUCUCUGAAGCUUAUUGACAUCUGUAACACUUAGUGCCCGUGAACUCUGCGUUUCCAAUCGCAAGUGUGUUCUUUUCUACAAAGAGCCUUUGUCAGAUGAACAGGCACAAAGCUGUCUGUGCUGUGACAGGCCUGAGCUUCGGGCUCACGUGUGUUGUGUUUGGGGUUCAGCUCUGAGUCUAAGUUGUAUGUACGUGUUGCUGAGACUUAAGGCACAAGUGAGUGCCUCCUGACAAACGUGGCAGAUGUGUGGUCACACUGUGGCCUGUGUGCUCAGCUGUCCCACUCUGAGUUGCUGACCAGACUUGAAGUUGGGCCCCUGCGUGCAGAGCCAGGCUCCCAGGUCCUGGCCUGCACUCCCUUCCUGGCUCCUGUUCCCGCCUCCAGACCCAGCCUGCUCUGAGUGGCCUCCUGAGGUUAAUUCCCAGCCGUGAAGGGUUUGGCAGGCAAGGCUGUGGGUCUGACUCCCGUGAAGGACACAGUCUCCCCAGGAAGAGCCCUGGGACAAGGGCAGGAGCAAAAGGGAAGACUCGCUCCGGGGGAGCAGAGUCCCUGCAGGGCCUGCAGGUGGGAGUGGCCACGAGCUUCUUCAGUGUUUUGGGGGAGUAGGCCCAGUGUUGAGUCUGCUGAGGCAUUCUGCUAUUCUACAGGUAUUUGCAACUGAAAACCAAAGUAAGCUGCUGCCUGUUAAGAAGAGAGCCUUCCCUGCCUCCCGUUGCCACUGUUAGAAAUAGAAUGUGUGGGAUCUGAGCGCUGCACAGACUUUGGGGCGGGGAGGGAGGCCUGCUGAGUCACACUUUGAGAACAGUGGUGUAAUUUAAAUACACUUUGAAUUUUAAAACCAAUCUUCCCUUAUAUGCUUAUCACUUCAGCAGUCAUUUUGAUGUUUCUUUGUUCUUGUUUAAUAUUUCUCUUUCGAUCUGAUCACAGUUAUGAGCCAUUUCCUGUUCUAACUCAUUUUUAUUAUACAAGUGCUUCUAUUUGUGAUUAAGAUCCUUAGAUUUACAACUGUAAACUUAUGAGAUAGUCUAGUACGUGUACAAACAAUACUUGCCUAUUUAUCCAAUAUUGAUUGUUGAAUAUUAUUAUAGAGAAACAGA